rnacentral:piRNA from 1 species
GAUGGGCAGAGGAAAGAGACUGUGCUG